rnacentral:lncRNA from 1 species
GGCUCUGUUCUCAAGUUGGGGCUCUUGGGAGGUGUACCGAGGGUUGUCGGGUUCCAAAAGCCGGGGCGGGGGGCCGCAGGCGGAGCCUGGUCUGCGGACCCGCACGCCGCGGAGUUGAGGUCUCCCUAUGCAUGGACAAGAAGCCGUUGCUUCUAGAAAAGGCGUAUGUGUCCCAAGCCAAUGGAAAGAAGACUUUCAGGACCCCCAGCUCUAUCUAAGCAUUACAGAUAAGAAGAAAGCUUGCUCUAAGAGGAGAGUUAAGGUGAGAGACUUUCAAGUAUGAAUACGCAGAACUCCAUCCAGCUGGAAAGAGAGCACACAGUUGCAUAUUUUAGUUGUGGGUCCUUCUAGUUGUGGCAUGUGGGACACCGCCUCAGGAUGGCCUAAUGAGCCGUGCCAUGUCCGUGGCCAGGAUCCGAACUGGCGAAAUCCUGGGCUGCCAAAGUGGAGCGCACGAACUUAACCACUCGGCCAUGGGGCCAGCCCUAGGAGCCAGCAUUUUUUUAAUGGAAUGUCAUGGAUUGGAGUGCAUCACAUUCCGCCCGUACAUAGUUGUAGAUUCUAGUUGCAAGUCCUUCUGAAGUGCUAUGUGGGAACACCACCUCAGCAUGGCUUGAUGAGCGGUGCCAUGUCCACACCCAGGAUCCAAACCAGCAAAACCCUGGGCAGCUGAAGCGGAGUGUAC